UUAGAAGAAGCCAAAAAAGCGGCAAGUCAUUGUUAAUGAUAGAAAUGAGUUAAUGCUCCUUCUGAA
rnacentral:tRNA from 2 species